rnacentral:rRNA from 1 species
AUGCCGUGCCUCCGCGUCGACCAGCGGGAGUUCCAUGCCGCGGCGACCGGCAACGGCUCCCUCGUCGAGAGGCUGAGUUUCAACAACUUCGCCCACAUCCUGCUGCACCGCCACGACGUAGCACUCCUAGAAGAAUUUCGGCUGCACGUAAAUCCUGGCUAUGGCUAUGGCUAUGGCAGCUGCCGUGCUGACAGCUGGGUCCGCCGCGGCAUAAGUCAGGAUGAGACUUGGCCUUGCCGGCUCGAAAGGUUGCAUCUUAACAACGUGUCUUUGGACGGUUAUUUUGCCAGGCGCAUCAGUUCGCAGUGCCCUGCUCUUGAGGACAUGCGACUGAAAAACUGCAGCUUCUUGCUCACCGAGGACAUCAGGUUCACCUCCUCCUCGCUAAAGAAAUUGGUCAUCGUCGGCUUCCAUGUGGUGAGGGAGGAUGCUUCUUCCAGGCUGAUUUUGGAGGCUCCUGCCCUUGCUUCCCUCCGCCUUGCCGGUCAUUCUUCUAACAAUUAUUCCUAUGUCAUGAGUCUGACGACAGUGAGGAGCAUGCCAUCACUUGUCGAUGCAUCGAUCUGUCUGGUGACUGUGAGCAGGUUCAAUUACAGCAAUGAAGAUAACGGCCCAAUUGAGAGGCAAUUGUCUUUUCUCAACGAGCUUUUCAAUGUGACGACUUUACAUUUGUCUGGUUUCGGUGUCAUGUUUCUUGUCCUUGGUGGUGAUGCUGGUCUGCAUUUCCCUGAGUUCAAAAACCUCAAGGCAUUGUCCCUCGCCGAAUGUGAUAUCAGUGAUGACUUCCUCACCCUGAAGCAUUUCCUGCGGAACUCACCUAAUUUGGAGAAGCUCACUUUGCGCUAUUGCGAGCUCUCGGAUCCCAGAUCUAGAAAGCAGAUAAUGGUAUUUCGAAUAAUAAAAAGAUCUAGAAAGGAGAUAAUGGAAUUUCAGAAAAAAAGAAAGAAGAUAAUGGAAAAGGCUCACUCAUAUUCCCAGGACAUGGCAACUGUUGAGUGCAAGAACCUCAAGCUCACUGAAAUCAUAUACCGGGAAAAUGAUGAUGAUGAUGUGCACCUAUUGGUCAAUUUUUGGUUGGGCAUGUCGAAGAGUACGCCAAGCAAUAAGAUCGAGAUCACUAAAGUCGAUUAG